rnacentral:rRNA from 1 species
UACGGAGGGUGCAAGCGUUAUCCGGAUUCACUGGGUUUAAAGGGUGUGUAGGCGGAUCUUUAAGUCAGCGGUGAAAUCUCCGGGCUCAACCCGGAAACUGCCAUUGAUACUAUUGGUCUUGAAUAUUGUGGAGGUGGGCGGAACGGGUCAUGUAGCGGUGAAAUGCUUAGAGAUGACCCGGAACACCGAUUGCGAAGGCAGCCCACUACGCAAUGAUUGACGCUGAGGCACGAAAGCGUGGGGAUCAAACAGG